rnacentral:rRNA from 1 species
CGUGUAGGCGGUCUUUUAAGUCUGAUGUGAAAGCCCCGGGCUCAACCUGGGAAGUGCAUUGGAAACUGGGAGACUUGAAUACGGGAGAGGGUAGUGGAAUUCCUGGUGUAGGAGUGAAAUCCGUAGAUAUCAGGAGGAACACCGGUGGCGAAGGCGGCUGCCUGGACCGAUAUUGACGCUGAGACGCGAAAGCGUGGGGAGCAAACA